rnacentral:lncRNA from 1 species
UUUAACUCCAAUUAUUAAACAGUCAAUCUGUUUAAGCAAAGAAAAAGCAGAAAGUCAACAUCUUUUCAACUUAAUAUGAAUCAAACAAUCUGAAAAUGUAGACUCAAAAGAAGACCUUCAAUAUUAGCGGAGACAGGAACCAACAGCAGCCCAAUUAAGCAAAGAAAAGCUGACACAAAGCCCAAGAUCCCCAAUAUCCAUUGAUCCAUUAUUCCACCCAGUCCAAUUCACCACAACCGCCACCACCUAAAACCUAGAUUUUCUUCAUUACAAAUCACUCACAGCUUCACAUACUACUCCACAUCUUCAGCAGUCAAAAACCCAGAAAAAGUAAUCAAAACCCUAAUCCCAAAAGAAGCAGAGAACACAGUACAAUUGAAGCAAACGUCACAGCGGGAUCAACAAAAAGUUUCAAGAAAAUAUUUUUUUUUACUUUCUUGAACUUUCUUGGAAAAUUGAGAAUGGCAUAUAAAAAUCAGAGAUUGAAGAAACUGUAAUAAUCGUUCUCUUUCUGUGGUUUUUUUUUU